rnacentral:lncRNA from 1 species
AUGUCAGAGUUUACUAGAAACAGCUUCCACUAUGUAAAAACACCUAAGCAAGAGGAGGAAAACUAUUCCUGCAGAAGCACUCUUCCUUGCCUGAGAAAACAAAGACGCUGCUCGAGAUGGCCUGGAAAAGGAGCGGAUGACUCAGAAGUGUGGGAGCAGGGUACAAAGCCUUCUCCCAUUGGCUCUCAUCACGCCAUUAGCUUGGAGGGAGGUGGAGUUCUGAGCAUCGUCUCUGCCACUGUUACAGAAUACAUCUCCUACACCUUCCCUCGACAGACAGACUGUUUGGCCUCUUCCAGGAGGAAGGAGAAAAGCAAGGAGAAAAAGAGCUCAAGUGCUGAUGAGUGGGGAGGAAGGGAGCUGCAACCAAUCGCAGUUGGAAGCCAAAGGAACAAACAACAACUGCAGUGAGCCGUCUCUCAGACUUAGGACAGCCAUGAUAAGCAAAACAUCCCGGGAAAGGCUCUUAGCAAGGGUUACGCCAAAACCACAGUCCAGCAAUGGGCAGGAAGUCAGUAAGAAGAGAAAGGGCAGGGAUCUGCCUGAAAGACAGACCACCUCUAGUACUGUAAUGUGAAUAUGCAGAUCCCUCUGGGGCCUCAGUUUCUUCCUUUGCUUUAGGCUACAUCAUAACAGAACAAACAUGAAUUUGUGUACAGUAGGAAAUAUUCAAGAGACAAGCACUGCCUGGGUGUAGGGUGACCAGAUAUCCCAAUUUUAUAGGGACAGUCCUGAUUUUUGAGACUUUUUCUCAUAUAGGCUCCUAUUACCCCCCACCCCAUCCCGAUUUUUCACAUUUGCUGUCUGGUCACUCUACCUGGGUGAGACACAAAUACAUUCUCACGGUCUGCUUGAAAUUACUCCAACUAUUCCCUCCAUGCAGUGAUUCUCCAAGAAGAAAAAGAUUCUGUUCCCAAGGGGCUGGGUGAAGGCCAGCUGCAUUGUAUAGGGUUUUUACAGGUUUUCCACUGUAUUCCUAAUAUUCUUUUGAAAAGGGAAGUUUGCCUCCUUUCAAGUCCUCUUGCUGGAGGCAACACUUUAUUUGCAGCUGCCUAAACACAGAGCAGAAGUAGCUUCUAAUGGAACUUUUCCCUUUGCCAGUAUGAAGUGGAUGGCAGUUGGAUGUCAGUUCUGUACGCAUCACAUUUCUCCCCACAGCUCCAAUUGCUUACCAGGCCUGGACUUGAACUUUGGCCCUUGCAAAUACUCUGCUAGUUCACUGGCAUUUUCUCACUCUGCAUCAUUGCCAUGCUGGCAUGGGAGAAGAGCAGGAGGCUUUUCAGAGUGAAAAAGGAGGUAAACAGUUUCUUUCUGUGGAUUUUUACUCCAGCCUGCUGCCCCCGAGUGAAACAAGUAAAAUAAAGGAAGCCUCCUAACUGGGGCUUGGGUUUGG